UACGUAGGGUGCGAGCGUUAAUCGGAAUUACUGGGCGUAAAGGGCGCGCAGGCGGUUUUGUAAGCCAGAUGUGAAAUCCCCGGGCUCAACCUGGGAAUGGCAUUUGGGACUGCAAGGCUAGAGUGUGGCAGAGGAGACUGGAAUUCCCGGUGUAGCAGUGAAAUGCGUAGAUAUCGGGAGGAAUACCGAUGGCGAAGGCAGGUCUCUGGGCUGACACUGACGCUCAUGCACGAAAGCGUGGGGAGCAAACAGG
rnacentral:rRNA from 1 species